GGGAGGUGUUGGGCUGGUUUCGCAUGGUGCUAUAUAUUGCUAUGAUGGGUUUAUUAGAUUUGGGCCGGGGUAUUUUAGAUUAGGUGUUCGGAGCUGGGCCCAAAUUCAAAGAUAAUUUUCUCUCGUUAUCCCCACCUUUUUUUCUAUUUUUUUUUUUUUUGAAUGAAUCUUUGAAGUUAUUUUGCUUCUUUUUUAAAGGCAAUUAGAUUGAAUUUUAGUGGAGUGUAAAGUACAAUGCUUUGAUGAAGGUCACCACGGGUGAAACGCCAUAUACGUCUGCGGCUACUUUCGAGGAUUUGAAUUUGUCACCAGAGCAUUUGAAGGGCUUGUAUCAUGUGGAGAUGAAAUUUCAGAAGCCAAGUAAAAUUCAAGCGAUCAGCUUGCCCAUAAUUUAAACUCCUCCGUACAAAUAUUUGAUAGCUCAGGCACAUAAUGGUUCUGGUAAGACUACUUGCUUUGUCCUCGGGAUGUUGAGUCGCGUUGAUCCGAAGCUGAUGGCUCCUCAGGCACUUUCUGUCUGUCCUAAGUGAGAGUUGGCUAUUCAUGUCAAGUUUUAAUCUCUUUACAUUCUAAAUUUGUUUAUGCUUGAUGCUUGGUUUGAUUUUUUUUUUUAAUAUUUAUUUUGAUGGUAUCUCUUGAAAGUGCAGGAAUUUUGUUGGAAGAACAUUAUCAUAUUUGUUUUCUGCAUCUUUAUUUUCAAAUCUCAACAAACUGAAAACAACCUUACAUGAAAUGCUUUGGUCUCUUUGAAAGUUAAACCAAUGUGCUUGUUGAAUUUAAUGAUUUUUAACCAUAGUGUAUCUACUCUUGCAUGAAGACAAUACUUUACAUUUCUAAGGAUCAGUACAAUAUAGCAAAAUAAGAUCAGAAAACUUACUAAUUUGCAUUUUUUUGUGUAACAUAUCUUAACAAAGUUAAUGGUGCAAAUCUGGCAGAAUUUGGAAGUUCUCCGGAAAAUGGGGAAAUAAACAGGUAUAAAUUCGGAGUGUCAGGUGCCUAUGGACGGCAAAAAUUACGUACCAAUAUCUGUCUCAGAACAAGUAGUCAUUGGAACUCCCGGUACAAUCAGGAAGUGGAUGUCCAGUAGGAAAUUGGGAGUUAGUUCUGACAAGACUCUUGUUUUUGAAGAGGCUGAUCACAUGCUAGCUGAGAGAAAACGGUUAAGAUGUGAAAUAGAUAACGGACUGGCUUUAGUUAUUGCAACGGGAUCUGUCUUUAACUUGCUGUGUGGUGAUAGGGAUAAGAUGCUCAUGUCCAAAAUUGAAGAUUAUUUAGGCACCUAAGUAACAGAGGUUAAGAGGUGGGAUAGUGAUGAAGAGUUGAACAAUGCCCUCCAGUCUAAUUCUUCACGGAGCCAGAUGGGGUGAUAUUCACAGGAAAUUUGUUUAAGAUUUCUUCCAAUGUUUUUGGCUUCUUGGAAUUUCAUUGUGUACAUAAAUGUAAUAGUAUAUUCAAGUUUUUUGAUACGUAAAAUACAUUUUGGUUUUGGUGAUGGGCAAAACCCAUUUUGGUUUCCCAAUCAACGCAACUACAAGCAAGCGUGAGAUAAAAUUUUAAUUUGUUUUUGUUAUUUAUUUAUUUUAAAUUUGGCAUAUGAUAAGCAUCCAGACUCCAGAGCAGAUACGACAAGGAGAGGAGAGUAGUAAUGUCUUUA